UAUAGUGAUAGAUGAUGGGAAGGAAAAGAAGGUCACCUUUGAUCUUACGCCUUUUAAACCCAUAAAUGAGUCUCUCUACUUAUGUGACAAUAAGUUUCAUACCGAACCUCUGGGUGAAUUGUUGGAAUCUGACGAGAAGUUUGGUUUCAUUGUUAUGGAUGGUAAUGGCACCCUUUUUGGGACCUUAAGUGGCAACAUACGAGAAGUUCUUCAUAAGUUCACUGUUGAUCUUCCAAAGAAGCACGGAAGAGGAGGUCAAUCAGCUCUUCAAUUUGCUCGUCUUCGGAUGGAGAAACGUCAUAAUUAUGUGAGGAAGACAUUGCUACUCAAUUCUUCAUUAAUCCAGCCACUAGCCAGCCAAAUGUAUCUGGAUUAAUACUUGCUGGAUCGGCUGAUUUCAAGACCGAGCUAAUCCAGUCUGAUAUGUUUGAUCCGCGCCUACAAGCAAAGAUACUUAACGUGGUUGAUGUGUCCUAUGGUGGGGAAAAUGGCUUCAAUCAGGCCAUCGAGCUGUCUGCUGAGAUUCUAGCUAAUGUGAAGUUUAUACAAGAAAAGCGCUUGAUAGGGAAAUUCUUUGAGGAAAUCAGUCAAGAUACUGGAAAGUAUGUGUUCGGUGUGGAUGACACAAUAAAAGGUUUGGAGAUGGGAGCUGUUGAAAUUCUUAUUGUGUGGGAAAAUCUUGAUAUAAACCGGUAUGUACUGAAAAAUAGUGUGACUAAUGAGAUUGUCAAUUCCCUGGAACUAUAGUGACAGAUGAUGGGAAGGAAAAGAAGGUCACCUUUGAUCUUACGCCUUUUAAACCCAUAAAUGAGUCUCUCUACUUAUGUGACAAUAAGUUUCAUACCGAACCUCUGGGUGAAUUGUUGGAAUCUGACGAGAAGUUUGGUUUCAUUGUUAUGGAUGGUAAUGGCACCCUUUUUGGGACCUUAAGUGGCAACAUACGAGAAGUUCUUCAUAAGUUCACUGUUGAUCUUCCAAAGAAGCACGGAAGAGGAGGUCAAUCAGCUCUUCAAUUUGCUCGUCUUCGGAUGGAGAAACGUCAUAAUUAUGUGAGGAAGACAUUGC
rnacentral:lncRNA from 1 species